AGGCAGAAGAACGGGAGUCAUGAAAGAGGCUACCUUAAGGGCGUGGCCAGGAGAGGGGCAAUGAGCAGGAUGGAAAGUGAAAAAGGAAAAACUCUGUAUUUGAAUGAGGAGCUGAGGUUGAGCAGGGACAGUAACCUGCCUGAAUGCCGCUGUGGCCAAAGCCUGGAUCUGAAGCUGUCUGCUCUGCCCUGUGCUCUUUGCUGAAGUCCUGCUCCAGUGAGGAGGCCCGUCCCAGACUGUGGAGGGAAGCUGACUUCUCCCCAGGGCCGACUUCUCUUCUUUUGUCUUCAGUUACUACUGUUCUGUAAGACUGAAUUCAAAAGGCCUCACAGAUUUCUAUCUACGAGACUGCUUUAAUUCUCACUAGAUACUUGGGAGUUUGGACAGAAGUGGGACAGUUACGACUUGGAGGAUCCUUGAAGCUUGGCUAAAGGCUUUUGCAUUGUAAGAUGUGAACAUCUUGGGAGAUGAAUAGAAUCUAAAAUAUUUCCCACGGGCUUGUAUUUUAAACACUUGUGGCCAAUUGGUAGCAAUACUUGGAGAGGAUGUGGAACCUUUUAGAAACUGAGCCUGUCUGUCAGAAGUCACUAGGGGCUGGAAGUCACUGGGCGCAUGUCUUA
ensembl:antisense A730090N16Rik RIKEN cDNA A730090N16 gene